rnacentral:tRNA from 1 species
GCCGGAAUAGCUCAGCUGGCAGAGCAGUGCACUCGUAACGCAAAGGGCGUAGGUUCGAUUCCUAUUUCCGGCA